ensembl:lncRNA
AUAAAAUGUUAUUUGUCAAAUGUGCAGAAUACAACAGGUAUUACAGUGAAAUGCUUACUUACAAGCCCUUAACCAACAAAGCAGUUGAAAAUAAGUGUUCAGUAAAAAGAUAAAAAACAAAAGUAACAAAUAAUUAAAGAGCAGCAGUCAAAUAACAGUAACGAGGCUAUAUACAGGGGGUUACAGUACAGAGUCAAUGUGGAGGCUAUAUACAGGGGGUACCAGUACAGAGUCAAUGUGGAGGCUAUAUACAGGGGGUACCAGUACAGAGUCAAUGUGGAGGCUAAAUGUGGAGGAUAUAUACAGGGG